UUACUGGGCGUAAAGCGGGCGCAGACGGUUACUUAAGCAGGAUGUGAAAUCCCCGGGCUCAACCUGGGAACUGCAUUGGUGACUGCAAGGCUAGAGUGUGUCAGAGGGAGGUGGAAUUCCGCAUGUAGCAGUGAAAUGCGUAGAUAUGCGGAGGAACACCGAUGGCGAAGGCAGCCUCCUGGGAUAACACUGACGCUCAUGCACGAAAGCGUGGGGAGCAAACAGGAUUAGAUACCCUGGUAGUCCACGCCCUAAACGAUGUCUACUAGUUGUCGGGGAUUAAUUUCCUUGGUAACGCAGCUAACGCGUGAAGUAGACCGCCUGGGGAGUACGGUCGCAAGAUUAAAACUCAAAGGAAUUGACGGGGACCCGCACAAGCGGUGGAUGAUGUGGAUUAAUUCGAUGCAACGCGAAAAACCUUACCUACGCUUGACAUGUCCGGAACCCUGAAGAGAUUUGGGGGUGCUCGAAAGAGAGCCGGAACACAGGUGCUGCAUGGCUGUCGUCAGCUCGUGUCGUGAGAAG
rnacentral:rRNA from 1 species